rnacentral:sRNA from 1 species
CGUCAGCCCUGAUCGAAGCGGCAUCCUUUUGCUCUGUGGUUCAGAGCAAAAGAUAUAGCGUAGAGCAGGACUAAAG